CGAACAUUUUGUGUUUUUGCUUUGCCAGACACCGAAAUUAAAAGCUGACCAUGUAGGCUGAAUUCUGCAUGGAUUCCACCUGGGAACAAACAGUUUUCGCCAAGCGGAUGCAGAGAUGUGCUCUGAGCUGUUUGGGGCCUCCAAGUGAUAGAUCUUCCCCGAGUCUUGCAGGCGUUUGCCAUUACAGUGCACGGAAGGCCAGUGCUGGCAUCUAUCCUGAGCUGAUGGGAGUCGCGGAGAUGUAAUGACGCUGUUGACACCGGGCGCUGGAUGUACGGAGCAGCUCGCCUCUGCAGGCUUUUGCCUCGGAACCUUUUGCUUUAGGUUCUAAUCAGCAAAAAUGGGUGACUAAAUAUAGUUACUACUGAUUGUCUGGCACUCUGAAGCAGUUGUUAAGGACAGGAGUAAAGCCUGUCAAGCAGUGGAGAGCGAGAAUCCAGCGACCCUCCCCAAGGGAUGCUGUGUUUAAGUUCCUGGGAAAGACACAGGGAUGCUGAAUGAGGCCAGAUUUUUGGCUUUCUGGACAUCAACCACACUGCCCGUCCUCUGCAGCCCCCUCCCGGGUCCCUGCGUUGCUGCCCCUGCCUCCGGCCGACGACGCAGGUCUGUAUUUGGGCACGAGGCAAAUCCCUCCCUUUCCAGCCCAGGGCCAUGUCCCAGGUCCGCCUGACAUCUCUGCCUGUCCGUACCCCUGUCAAGUGUCACCUCCGAAAUACAGAGACAUUCAAGGAUGGAGGGCCUYGUCCAGGCACGGGGAAGCGUGGCCAGCUGCGAACGCUGUGCUUCUGCCCAGCUCCCCCGCGCCGUCCGCAGCCUCGGCAGCGCCCUGGCCCCGCGCCCUCUUCCCUCCCGCUUCGCACCCYGCGAGGCAGCUCCCGGCUGAGCCGCGCCGCAAUGCUUUGCUGCACGCGGCGGUGUUUUGUUUGCAGGCAGUUAGCAGGGGUUUUGUUCUGACCUGAAAUGCCUUUGCUGGCUCUUGCCUUCCGGAGAAACCACUGGAGACUGGAUGUUUUAUCAGAAAAAGCCUAGAGGGAACUGCGCCGGUUUGUAGUGACCRUAAGAGCUCACAACUCCCAUCUGGAAGUUCCCCAUGUCUUUGCACACAAUUUCCAGAAGUAUGUGUGUGUGUGUGACCUCCACGCAAGCCCCAACGCAGCGUUGCUGGGGUGGAAAGCAGCAUUUGCGAACCCGGCCAUCUGGAGCAGUCCUCCUCUCCUCCCCACUUCAUCAAUUCUCCAGCUGUUUUCUGAUCUCAUCUGGAAGAAAAUCUCUCUUCUGCCUCCCCAGCCUGUCCCAUUGAUUUAUCUCUGCCUCAGUUCUUCUCCAUAGGUGCCUGUCCAUAAGAGGGGAUGCUUUAAUGUAUUCAUCACAUGGGACUUUAGUGCCAUUUCCUCCAGUAAUUUAUACCCUACUUCCACUGCUGACCCGCGUUAUUUGGCUCUUCAAAGCGUUUUAGGCAACAGCCAGUGGGGAAGGCACUCUCCAGAAGAGCCGUCUGACCCUGUGUCGUCGCCGGUGCUCAGUGGGGUUUGCAGCGGGCCUUGGGCUCCCUCGGUCUGUCAGGCUCCGGAGGGAGGCAGGUCACUCCUUGCUCCUGGAGCCGUCUCGCACCCCAACGCCUGGUUCUUGCCCCUGCGAUGUGUCACCUUGCAGGGCGCUGCCAGUGCCUGGGAGCUCCCCAAGGAUGAACUUGCCCGUUUUCCGGGCCAUGCAUGCUUGCUACGGGCAGGCUUUGCUCAGAGCACCGGGGUGCAAGCCGGGAGACGUCUCCUCGAGCGGAGCAGGAGGAGCAGCGGCCCUUUGAGGCCAGUGCAGGGAUCAGCCUUCAGGGCACGUUGCAGCUGCUGAAUUCUAGGGAGAGGAACAAAAAUUUGUAAAAGGACGAUAUUCUGCCAGUCCUUUGCUCGGCCUGAGUCAAUUAAUGCCCGUGAGAUGCCGGGAGAGCCCAGCGCGCGCUCUGCAGGGGCAGGAAAGGAAAAGGCUGCCGGGGCGCCAGCUGCGAGGUGGGUCCCACCCUGGGGCCACGCGGGAUGCCGCCAGCCACCGAGGAGGCAAAGGAGAGGCAAGAACGAAUGAAGUCUGGUUUGGGGUUUCUUGGCUCGAGAGACAGGGAUCAGCCCGAUAAUGAGGCGGCACGCUCUGAGGGCAGAGGAAGAGCUGAGGACAUGGUAGCUGCUCAUUAGCAGCUAGAGACGUGUUAGCUCCCGACACCAGCCUMUGGCGCUUGCUCCGGCCGGUUCAGAGGGAGCCUUUGAACGUCCCCGAGAAGGAGGGCUUGCACCCUGCUCCCCGCUGCGGCUGCUCCUSAGCAAGCAGAGCAGCAGCUCUGAAGCUGUUCUGCUAAAGGCUUGAGAAAUUAAUUUUGCCUGUCAGAGAUUCAAAUGCACGGGUGUGAACUGAGGUUCAGCAAGGUAAGCUAACCCACCUGGCUGCUCUCCAGCUCCAGCAACGUUGCUCACAACGGGGAAGGGAAGACCAGCAAGUACCUGCCUGUGUAAGCUGGGCUUGUCUUCCGCAUAAAACAUGCCCUUAAUUAAUAGCAAGGAUGAACCUGAGUCACAAUCUCUGUUAUCAAUUUGUGGAUGUGGUUGGAUUGUCUGUCUCCCAGGACAGUAAUAUCCCUUCAUCUUAUUGCAAAUUGCUUGCAGCAUCCUUCUAUUACACAGGCUUAAUGCUUGAAAAAUAGAGAUUUAAUACUCCACCAUAUCAGACUAAGUGAGGUCAAAGCAAUUCAUAUUCACAGUCCCACAAAGCUCCCUGAUAAUGUUUCCUGUGUGAAAUAUGGAUGUGGUGGUAAUAAACUGGGGAGUCCUUGCCCUCCGCUUCGAACR
ensembl:lncRNA